rnacentral:rRNA from 1 species
ACCUACGGGAGGCAGCAGUCGAGAAUCAUUCACAAUGGGGGAAACCCUGAUGGUGCGACGCCGCGUGGGGGAAUGAAGGUCUUCGGAUUGUAAACCCUUUUCAUGUGGGAGCAAAUUAAAAAGAUAGUACCACAAGAGGAAGAGACGGCUAACUCUGUGACAGCAGCCGCGGUAAUACAGAGGUCUCAAGCGUUGUUCGGAAUCACUGGGCGUAAAGCGUGCGUAGGCUGUUUCGUAAGUCGUGUGUGAAAGGCGCGGGCUCAACACGCGGACGGCACAUGAUACUGAGAGACUAGAGUAAUGGG